rnacentral:lncRNA from 1 species
AUGCGCUCUUUCUCUCAGACGUUUUCUCCUAGUCCCACCAAAGAAGCCCCCCUGUCGCUGGGAGAACUCCUGAGCUGGUUUUCUGAGGUCAGCAAGUCCUGGAGGAGCUCAGCAGGAGGCCCUGAGGCGGCAGCAGAUGCAGCAGCCUUCCCUCCGCUGCUCUCGCCCACAAAGCGUUGCUGGAUGUCCAUUUCAACUUCCUUCCCAGUUGCCACGGAUCUCGUCCCCCAGUGUUGGGGCAAGUGGGACAGCACUGAGGACCCAGGCAGACCCUUCCCCCCUCCCUUUGCAGCCGCAGCGGAGCAGCUAGCAGGGGCCGCGGCUGGCGGUCAGGGGCCAGUGAGGAGGGGGCAGGGGUAGGGAGGCAGGGGCGGCCACAGAGAGCCCUCCUCCUAGGUGGCCUGGGAACAGCUGCCUGGCAAAGCUGGAGUGGUCCUCUGCCCAUCGCAGAUGAGCUGGUCCCCUGGCCCUUGGGGGGGGGGCGAGGCUGAGACCUGCUGUGCUGUGCUCUGGAGGAAGGCAGCCAGGCAGUUGUGGGCAGGGGGGCGAGGCCGUUGGAAAGCCACCCUGCCUGCUGCAGCUCAGAGGGUGCUGCCUCCUGCCUCCCCCCACCUGCCCCCCCACCCUCCAGCAUAAGUAGGGUCAGGGGCACGUCUUCCUCUGUUGGGGUGCUCCUCCCGGGCUCACACAGGGCGUUUCUGCCCUCUUUUCAAAGCAAUAAGAGAUGGCAAAGGCAGCAGUAGAGCAGAGGUGGUCUCAGUCCUGAGGGGGGUUGUUGCUGGAGCCACAGCCCGGCGGGGUGGGGGGUGUCCUUGGGCAGCCUCCCCAACUCCUGCCUGCGGAAGCCAAGAGGAUGCUGUGCCCCCCCGGCAUCGGAAGGUCCUUCUCCGCCAGCCCAUCCUUAUUUGCUCCAUGUGAAUCAAGCCAUCCCAUUCCUUGGCAUUUGUUGAUGUUAUAUUAUUCUCUCAUUAUCCAGUUGGUUGGUUUUUUUCCUUGCUUUUGCAUGAUGUAUUAACUCGAGCAAGCCUGUAUCCAUAUUCUGUGUCGGCCAUUGGCACAGGCUGGGGGUGCCCUCCCCCUUCUCUCCCUUGCCCCCCUGGCUCCCCUCCUGCCUCUUUCUGCUCAAAGCAGCGGAGGCGGCCCUCGUUCUUCUCAGACUAAACUGUUCAGGCUCAUCUCUGUUUUUCGGGAGGCAGAACACUAAACUUGUAAAUACCAUGAAGUGUUUGUAAAAACAUGCAGUAUGGAACCAGGCCCUCUGCGCCGGGGGCAGUAAAGAAGAUUCUAUGAAACGGCUUCUGUGUGGUUUGUUCGCGACACCUCGCUCCUCUUCCAAGGACACUGAGCCCCUCCCUAGUGCCCCAAACUCCCUGCCCUCCUUGCUUCAAAGCCCUUGGGUGGGUCCCAGCCUGGGGGAGUUGGCUGUGGGGUCUUUGCGGUGCUUCCAGAAGGAGCGUUCUCCACAAGAGCUUCCCGAAGUAGCUUCAGACCUCCGGUGAGUAACUGCCCGGGUUGCCCACGUGGGCCUGGAGUCAGGGGCUGCUCUGCAAGAGAGACCCCAGAGAAGUCGCUGGUGUGAAUUCACCUCUUGGCUGGGUGUGGAGAAGAGGCUCUGAUGUUUCCCAUGCCUUCCUUACAACACGUCUUUGCAGCCUGGUGCUCUGGAACAAAGCAGUCCGUCUCAAAGUCACGCCAGGGUUGGAGCUGCAAGCCAUGCAGAAGGAGUUGUGGCCUCUGCUGUUAAGGUCCCUUUGCCCCAGGCUCCCACCCCACGGUGCCUGCAGCCCGCAAGGGGGUCACAAGGCAACCCACCCUCUUCCCAAGAUCUGUAGUUCACCUAACCUUGAGAGCUAGAUCCCAUCAGUAUCUAUAGAAGCCCAUGAACUGUUACCAAGCACCUCUGCGUGAAUAAUGCCGAAACUCUGGGAAAAAGGAGAGGGAUUAUGAAGCAGGUAUGCUUUAAUUCUGGGAACAGAUCAGGCUGGAAGCCGCCUCUGGCUAGGAUGGGUCUCAGUGGGGUUUGGGGAGCCUGAAUAUUCGUGUCAGUGUUGCUGGAGCUGGCAGGCUCAGAACGCGGCAGGCCUGCCUCCCUCCUGCCCACUCCUGGGUCCGUUCCUGUUUUGCUCUUUGUCCCAGGGCACAUAAAAGGCGGCUCUAUCCAGCUCCUCUGGAGCAGAUGGCAGCAGGCCAGGAGCCUGGCUCCUCGCUUUGCCCCUUUCCAAAGGCAAGAGAAAGCAAAGAGGUUUUCCUUCCCUUGAGCAAACUACACUAAUGUAGCUGUUUGGAAGCACAGCCGGGCCUCUUUGGUUUUAACGAGGAGCUUGGAGGCUCCACUGCAGCUGGCAGCUCCUGGGCACUCAGGCUGGCAGGGAUCCCUGGCACUGUGCCCACCCCAUAGAGGUGGGUGGCAUGCCUGAGGGUUGUGCUAGGGUACUAGAAGCCCAUUCUGCCUUAACUUGGGGGUCUUCAACAGGGGCACCUAAGUCAUUUCAUGCAAGAAGAAGGGUCGGCAUCUAAGGUCAAACUUAGAAAAGGAUAGCAAAUACUGAGACAUUUUUGGAAGAAGAUAAAAGUCCUUUCAAUUCGCUAUUU